rnacentral:pre_miRNA from 7 species
UUUCGGGGUUCCUGGGUGUCACACAGAUCUCGGUGGGACCUCUAAAUGUUAGACCUAGUGGGGAAACCCCCACCCAAUUCCCGAUUCAGCGUGCACCCAAAAAAUCACGAAGGACC